CCUACGGGAGGCAGCAGUGAGGAAUAUUUGUCAAUGGGCGGAAGCCUGAACCAGCCAAGUAGCGUGCGGGAUGAAGGCCCUACGGGUCGUAAACCGCUUUUGCACGGGGAUAACACCCUCCACUUGUGGAGGUCUGCAGGUACCGUGCGAAUAAGGGCCGGCAAAUGCCGUGCCAGCAGCCGCGGGAAUACGGAAGGCCCGAGAGUUAUCCGGAUUCAUUGGGCGUAAAGGGAGCGUAGGCGGGCGUUCAAGUCAGCGGUAAAAUCGCGCGGCUCAACCGCGCCCCGCAGUUGAAACUGGACGCCUUGAGUUCACAACAGGCAGGCGGAAUUCGUGGUGUAGCGGUGAAAUGCAUAGAUAUCACGAGGAACCCCGAUGGCGAAGGCAGCCUGCCGGGGUGCGACUGACGCUGAGGCUCGAAGGUGCGGGUAGCAAACAGGAUUAGAUACCCCAGUAGUC
rnacentral:rRNA from 1 species